ensembl:lncRNA
UUUGCAUUUUACUUACAAAUUUAAAUUUCCAGUUUGAGCUAUAAUUCUUAAAAUGUAUUGGUAAAUGGAUCUUUCGAAUUACUGGCCUAGUUUAAACCAGGUGAUUACAUUCCUAGGUCACUUUCAGUGGUUCAUAGUAAGGCUAUAAAACCUAGCUGUGGAUACAAUCCACGAAGAAAGAUGAUCUUGCACUGUUAAUGUAGGCAUAUCAAUCAACCAGAUUACAUGACAGGCCAGUGUUAAACAACACAUUUCUAGCCUUGAACAAUGAUAGAUCUAUUUGAAAACUGCCAGGAACGGUGCAGCUGUUUAAACUUUUUUCGCAACCUUUUCUCCACGUUACGCCCUCGCAAAUAGUCAAAAACGUUCUUAACAAAGCCUGCCGAAACACUUAAGUACAAGAGUGUUGUGCUUUCAAAGCAGUGAAUAAACUAAACGUUGGAAAAUUAAAAAAGAAACAGGGUAACCCAGUUCGAACGAGAGGACGUGGUGUUUGUUUAUCGUAACGGUAAGAUGCAAACUGGGUUAUUGUGAUUAGAAAUCGUGUUACCUAGCCUCUGUAUUUGGUGUUUUUGUCGUGACCAACAACAGUGGCAUCGGGAUUCGCCUUCAAAAUAAGUCACCCAUUAACUUGCAAACGGAUUUUAAAAAACAAAUUGGAAUUAUGCCACAAUUGUUCUAAACAAGGUUGUAAUGUUAUACACAUUCAGCCUACUCGGGAACACAAAAUGACGUUUACACAUGUUCGCGUUGUAGCUCUUAUUGUAGUACUUAAACUAUGGACAAUCGCCUCACUAUUCAACCUAUUGUACUUGUUGAACAUUCAUAUUAGGCAAAACUAGGCAAAUUGUAUAUUACCCCCAUUUCAUGGACUCAAGAUCAAUGGGUAUCAGCUUACUUUCAAUUUCAUGGACCCAAUAUCCGUAGGUAAGGUUCAGCCCGUUCUCUUGAGGUGGAGUUAAAGUUUUGAUUGCUGGUCGCGGGAUUUGGUAGCAACAACAUUGGGUCUCUGUCAGUCGAUUCUUGUAAAAGUGUCAAUUCUGAAAACGCUUACCUGCACAACUGCGGUUUUUCCGCGGGGUGCUGAAAUUCAUAUUUUUUGUUGAAAGGAUACAACCUCCCAAGUUUUUCUCGUUUGUGUUGCACAAAUCCGCACGCAUAUGCCAAUUGAAUCUCCGUUUACGUAGUACGACCGACACACGAGGAAGAAGUCAGUGGUUUUAUUUGAUAAGAGUUUAAAGUAUGAAAUUUCAGGACCGCAGUUGUAAAGGGUAAACCGGUAAUGUAGGCGUUUUCAGAAUUGACUGAAGGUGACUGUUGUUGCUAGCAAAUCCCGCGACUGGUUAUCCAAACUCAACUAUUAAAAAAAAAGGAGAGGAGUUGAGCGUUACUCAACUAUAACCAAGGCUGUACAUUUCAAGAUGAAUGUUAAAUACACACAAUAGGCUGAACAGUUAGGUGAUUUCCAACAGUUGAAGUCCCGCAAUAAGAGAGACGAUAAUGUUUAUAACCUGUGGGUGACGCUGAGUAGGCCGGACCAAAGAUCCAGAGAUAAGGCUGUACAAUGCAAUGUUAUCUGUCUAAUACAUCCACCGUGCGAUUUCAACUCACUAUACUUUAUCUGUGUCAAAUUAACGGCAUUCUGUUUAAUUUAUACAACAUUUCAAACUUGUUUAGCAUUAACUAGUCCAAUUGGCAUGAUUCCAUUAUUUGUAUCAGUUUCAAUGGGGGACUUUUAUUUUGAACGCUAACCGCCGAUGCCGUAUAUUUAUAUGUACAUAUUCUUAUUAAUUCCUUUACACUUGUGUGUAUAAGGUAGCUGUUGUGAAAUUGUUAGAUAUUGCUGCAUGGUCGGAACUAGAAGCAUUUCGCUACACUCGCAUUAACAUCUGCUAACCAUGUGUAUGUGACCAAUCCGAUUUGAUCCUCACACUGACGUUGUUCACGACACAGGCACUUCUUCCGCGCUUGUAAAGGUGUCCGCAUGCUUCCCAGUCGAAACAGUUCGUGCAUAUAUUAUGUUUGUGGACUUCGUUGAGGGUUCUGGAGAUAAGCCGAAGUUCGGAGCCGAAGUCUACUGAUCAUUUUCCAUCAAUGGAUGUUUUUUUAUUUCUCCGUUAUUUUACCAGGUAAAUUGACUGAGAACAAGUUCUCAUUUACAACAACGAUGUGGGGAAUAGUUACAGGGGAGAGGUGGGGGAUGAAUGAGCCAAUUGUAAACUGGCGAUUAUUAGGUGACCAUGAUGGUUUGAGGGCCAGAUUGGGAAUUUAGCCAGGACACUAGGGUUAACACCCCUACGAUAAGUGCCAUGGGAUCUUUAAUUACCCUAGAGAGCCCCAUCCGAAAGACUGCACCCUACACAGGGCAGUGUCCCCAAUCACUGCCUUGGGGAUUGAGAUAUUUUUUAGACCAGAGGAAAGAGUGCCUCCUACUGGCCCUCCAACACCACUUCCAGCAGCAUCUGGUCUCCCAUCCAGGGACUGACCAGGACCAACCCUGCUUAGCUUCAGAAGCAAGUCACCACCAAGCAAGUGGCACUAUGAAGACUAAGGAGCUCUCCAAACAGGUACUGACAGGAGGCGUGACGAGGACGCUGAUCCAGUGGACCUGGUGCCAGUAAGGAUGGUCGUCACGGAGACGAUAAGACCGUCCAGGAUAGAGAAAUCCUUCGACUUCACUGCCUCUUCAAUGACGAUCCCACAGAUGAAGAAGCUGGAAGUGGAGGUCCUGGGCUGUCCUGGUUACACAUGGUCUGUGGAUGUGAGGCCAGUUGGAUGUACUGCCAAAUUAUCUUACAAAGUUGGAGGCGGCUUAUGGUUUCAUUGUCCCCCAGCACAAGGUGCACCUGUGUAAUGAUCAUGCCGUUUAAUCAGCUUGAUAUGCCACACCUGUCAGGUGGAUGGAUUAUAUUGGCAAAGGAGAAAUGCUCACCAACAGGGAUGUAGACAAAUUUGUACACAUUUUGUGCAUAUGGAACAUUUCUGGGAUUUAUUAUUUCAGCUCGUGAAACAUGGGACUAACACUUUACAUGUUGCCUUUUAUAUUUUUAUUCAGUAUAAAGUUAUUUGAUUGAUUAACAUUUCAGCUGUAAAAUAUUUAACAAG